UAUUAGCCCCGAUUGCAACGACAUCCUUUUUCUUAAAUGGCUUUGAAAAAAAGCGCUGGCGAAAAAGAUAUAGUGGAAAGCGGGAAAAAGC
rnacentral:sRNA from 1 species